rnacentral:rRNA from 1 species
CAAGACCUCACGUUAUUCGAGCGGCCGAUGCCUGAUUAGCUAGUUGGUGAGGUAAAGGCUCACCAAGGCGACGAUCAGUAGCUGGUCUGAGAGGAUGAUCAGCCACACUGGAACUGAGACACGGUCCAGACUCCUACGGGAGGCAGCAGUGGGGAAUUUUGGACAAUGGGCGCAAGCCUGAUCCAGCCAUUCCGCGUGAGUGAAGAAGGCCUUCGGGUUGUAAAGCUCUUUCGGCAGGGAAGAAAUCGUGCGGGUGAAUAUCCCGUAUGGAUGACGGUACCUGAAGAAGAAGAAGCACCGGCUAACUACGUGCCAGCAGCCGCGGUAAUACGUAGGGUGCGAGCGUUAAUCGGAAUUACUGGGCGUAAAGCGUGCGCAGGCGGUUUUUUAAGCCAGAUGUGAAAGCCCCGGGCUCAACCUGGGAACU